rnacentral:rRNA from 1 species
CUUAAAGGAAUAGACGGAAGGGCACACAAGGAAUGGAGCCUGCGGCUUAAUUUGACUCAACACGGGGAAGCUCACCAGGUCCGGACACAGGAAGGAUUGACAGAUUGAGUGCUCUUUCUUGAUUCUGUGGUAGGUGGUGCAUGGCCGUUCUUAGUUGGUGGAGUGAUUUGUCUGGUUAAUUCCGAUAACGAUCGAGACUCUAGCCUGCUAGUUCGACUGUCCGAUCAACUCCGUCGGCAGUCUUCUUAGAGGGAUACGCGGCGUUCAGCCGCUCGAGACAGAGCAAUAACAGGUCUGAGAUGCCCUUAGAUGUCCUGGGCCGCACGCGCGCUACAUUGAAGGAAUCAUCGUGUUGUUUCCCUGUCCGACAGGACCGGGUAAACCGUUGAAACUCCUUCGUGCUUGGGAUAGUGCAGUGUAAGUUGCACUUGAACGAGGAAUUCCUAGUAAGCGCGAGUCAUCAGCUCGCGUUGAUUGCGUCCCUGCCCUUUGUACUCACCGCCCGUCACUACUAGCGAUUGAAUGAUUUAGUGAGGUCUUCGGACUGGGGGCCCGGACUGGCUUUCGGGCCGAGCCGGUGCGUCGGAAAGAUGACCGAACUUGAUUAUUUAGAGGUAGUAAAAGUCGUAACAAGGUUUGU